rnacentral:rRNA from 1 species
AUUGAACGCUGGCGGCAUGCCUUACACAUGCAAGUCGAACGGCAGCACGGGUGCUUGCACCUGGUGGCGAGUGGCGAACGGGUGAGUAAUACAUCGGAACGUACCUUAUCGUGGGGGAUAACGCAGCGAAAGCUGUGCUAAUACCGCAUACGCCCUGAGGGGGAAAGCGGGGGAUCGCAAGACCUCGCGCGAAUAGAGCGGCCGAUGCCUGAUUAGCUUGUUGGUGGGGGAAAAGCCAACAAAGGCGACGAUCAGUAGCUGGUCUGAGAGGACGAUCAGCCACACUGGGACUGAGACACGGCCCAGACUCCUACGGGAGGCAGCAGUGGGGAAUUUUGGACAAUGGGGGCAACCCUGAUCCAGCAAUGCCGCGUGAGUGAAGAAGGCCUUCGGGUUGUAAAGCUCUUUUGUCAGGGAAGAAACACCGGCCCUAACACAGUCCGGGAAUGACGGUACCUGAAGAAUAAGCACCGGCUAACUACGUGCCAGCCGCCGCCGUAA